UGGGGAAUAUUGCACAAUGGGCGCAAGCCUGAUGCAGCCAUGCCGCGUGUAUGAAGAAGGCCUUCGGGUUGUAAAGUACUUUCAGUCGGGAGGAAGGUGGUAAGGUUAAUAACCUUAUCAAUUGACGUUACCGACAGAAGAAGCACCGGCUAACUCCGUGCCAGCAGCCGCGGUAAUACGGAGGGUGCAAGCGUUAAUCGGAAUUACUGGGCGUAAAGCGCACGCAGGCGGUUGAUUGAGUCAGAUGUGAAAUCCCCGGGCUUAACCCGGGAAUUGCAUCUGAUACUGGUCAGCUAGAGUCUUGUAGAGGGGGUAGAAUUCCAUGUGUAGCGGUGAAAUGCGUAGAGAUGUGGAGGAAUACCGGUGGCGAAGGCGGCCCCCUGGACAAAGACUGACGCUCAGGUGCGAAAGCGUGGGGAGCAAACAGG
rnacentral:rRNA from 1 species